UACGUAGGGACCGAGCGUUGUCCGGAAUCAUUGGCGUAAAGAGCGUGUAGGCGGCCUGUUAAGUCUUGCGUGAAAUCUCGGGCUCAACCCCGAGCGGUCGUGAGAAACUGGCAGGCUAGAGUGCGGGAGAGGAGAGUGGAAUUCCUGGUGUAGCGGUGAAAUGCGCAGAUAUCAGGAAGAACACCCGUGGCUAAGGCGGCUCUCUAGUACGGUACUGACGCUGAGACGCGAAAGCGUGGGGAGCGAACAGG
rnacentral:rRNA from 1 species